UACGAAGGGGGCUAGCGAUGGUCGGACUUACUGGGCGUAAAGCGCACGUGGGCGGCUUGGCUAGUCAGGGGUGAAAUCCCGGAGCUCAACUCCGGAACUGCCUUUGAUACUGCCUGUCUAGAGUCCGGAAGAGGUGGGUGGAAUUCCUAGUGCAGAGGUGAAAUUCGCAGAUAUUAGGAAGAACACCAUUGGCGAGGGCCGGCCACUGGUCCGGAACUGACGCUGAGGCGCGAAAGCGUGGGGAGCAAACAGG
rnacentral:rRNA from 1 species